AGCGAACAUUGGCGGCGCGCUUUACACAUGCAAGUCGAACGGGAUUCAUAUUGAAGGACACUUCGGUGGACGGAGAGAUGAUGAGAGUGGCGAACGGGUGAGUAACACGUGGACAACCUGCCCAACCGCGGGGGACAACAGUUGGAAACGACUGCUAAUACCGCAUAAGCUCGAAAGAGGAAAGCCGAAAGGCGCGGAUGGAGGGGUCUGCGGCCCAUCAGGUAGUUGGUGGCGGUAACGGCGCACCAAGCCAACGACGGGUAUCUGGCGUGAGAGCGUGACCAGACACAAGGACACUGAGACACGGGUCCUACUCCUACGGGAGGCAGCAGUGGGGAAUUUUGGACAAUGGGGGAAACCCUGAUCCAGCGACGCCGCGUGAAGGAAGAAGUCCUUCGGGAUGUAAACUGCUUUUUACUGGGAAGAAGAGAUGACGGUACCAGUAGAAUAAGCCCCGGCUAACUACGUGCCAGCAGCCGCGGUAAGACGUAGGGGGCAAGCGUUACCCGGAAUCACUGGGCGUAAAGGGGGCGUAGGCGGGACAAUAAGUCAGAUGUUAAAAACGACGGCUCAACCGUCGGGAUGCGUUUGAAACUGUAGUCCUUGAGGAUAGUAGAGGAAAAGGGAAUUACCAAUGUAGGGGUGAAAUCCGUAGAGAUUGGUAAGAAGGCCGGUGGCGAAGGCGCUUUUCUGGACUAUACCUGACGCUGAGGCCCGAAAGCCAGGGGAGCAAACCGGAUUAGAUACCCGGGUAGUCCUGGCCGUAAACGAUGCUCACUAGGUGUGGGAUCCGUAGAGGAUUCUGUGCUGAAGCAAACGCGAUAAGUGAGCCGCCUGGGGAGUACGUCCGCAAGGAUGAAACUCAAAGGAAUUGACGGGGGCCCGCACAAGCGGUGGAGCAUGUGGUUUAAUUCGACGCAACGCGAAGACUUACCUGGGUUUGACAUCUC
rnacentral:rRNA from 1 species